GACGAACGCUGGCGGCGUGCCUAACACAUGCAAGUCGAACGGAGCCGAACGCUGAAUUGAAGGAAGCUUGCUUCUGGAUUUUCUUGUUCUGCUUAGUGGCGGACGGGUGAGUAACGCGUGAGUAACCUGCCUUACAGAGGGGGACAACAGUUGGAAACGACUGCUAAUACCGCAUAACGUGGCGAGAGGGCAUCCUCUUGUCACCAAAGGAGCAAUCCGCUGUAAGAUGGACUCGCGUCCGAUUAGAUAGUUGGUGAGGUAAACGGCCCACCAAGGCGACGAUCAGUAGCCGGACUGAGAGGUUGAACGGCCACAUUGGGACUGAGACACGGCCCACGACUCCUACGGGAGGCAGCAGUGGGGGAGUAUUGCACAAU
rnacentral:rRNA from 1 species